CCGGCGCACGGUGAGUAACGCGUAUCCAACCUGCCCACCACUUGGGGAUAACCUUGCGAAAGUAAGACUAAUACCCAAUGAUAUCUCUAGAAGACAUCUGAAAGAGAUUAAAGAUUUAUCGGUGAUGGAUGGGGAUGCGUCUGAUUAGCUUGUUGGCGGGGUAACGGCCCACCAAGGCAACGAUCAGUAGGGGUUCUGAGAGGAAGGUCCCCCACAUUGGAACUGAGACACGGUCCAA
rnacentral:rRNA from 1 species